UGGCGAAGUGUUGUUAGGAUUGGCUGGGUUCUGUUGCUUAGCCUGUUCUAAUUCCAGGGCCUGCUGGUGGGUCUCCCUCUGGAGUUCCAGCUGUCUUUGGUGGUCUACA